GACGAACGCUGGCGGCGUGCCUAAUACAUGCAAGUUGAGCGCUGAAGGUUGGUACUUGUACCAACUGGAUGAGCAGCGAACGGGUGAGUAACGCGUGGGGAAUCUGCCUUUGAGCGGGGGACAACAUUUGGAAACGAAUGCUAAUACCGCAUAAAAACUUUAAACACAAGUUUUAAGUUUGAAAGAUGCAAUUGCAUCACUCAAAGAUGAUCCCGCGUUGUAUUAGCUAGUUGGUGAGGUAAAGGCUCACCAAGGCGAUGAUACAUAGCCGACCUGAGAGGGUGAUCGGCCACAUUGGGAGUGAGACACGGCCCAAACUCCUACGGGAGGCAGCAGUAGGGAAUCUUCGGCAAUGGACGAAAGUCUGACCGAGAAACGCCGCGUGAGUGAAGAAGGUUUUCGGAUCGUAAAACUCGGUUGGUAGAGAAGAACGUUGGUGAGAGUGGAAAGCUCAUCAAGUGACGGUAACUACCCAGAAAGGGACGGCUAACUACGUG
rnacentral:rRNA from 1 species